GGAAGCUUGGAUUUUAGAUGAGAGUGAAAACAACACAUUUGUUACUUUGGUCUCUGGGCAGACUUGACCGGUUAUGGUUCCAUGAAGAUUUUAUGACAAGAUUGUAGAAUAAACUUUGUACUGACAGUGCCAGAGUGGUUACUGGUGGAAACUAGUAAAGUACAGCUGACAUAGGACACUGUGACAUACUAUACAUAAAAUGGUACAGGAAGCUUGGAUUUUAGAUGAGAGUGAAAACAACACAUUUGUUACUUUGAUCUUUUAUUUAGGUCUCUGGGCAGACUUGACCGGUUAUGGUUCCAUGAAGAUUUUAUGACAAGAUUGUAGAAUAAACUUUGUACUGACAGUGCCAGAGUGGUUACUGGUGGAAACUAGUAAAGUACAGCUGACAUAGGACACUGUGACAUACUAUACAUAAAAUGGUACAGG
rnacentral:lncRNA from 1 species